UACGGGGGGGGCAAGCGUUGUUCGGAAUUACUGGGCGUAAAGGGCUCGUAGGUGGCCAACUAAGUCGGACGUGAAAUCCCUCAGCUUAACUGGGGAACUGCGUCCGAUACUGGAUGGCUUGAGUUUGGGAGAGGGAUGCGGAAUUCCAGGUGUAGCGGUGAAAUGCGUAGAUAUCUGGAGGAACACCGGUGGCGAAGGCGGCAUCCUGGACCAACACUGACACUGAGGAGCGAAAGCCAGGGGAGCGAACAGG
rnacentral:rRNA from 1 species